GGGACGCCGUGGUUGAUCACCUGGAAGAACCCCACCGUGCUCGCCGCCUGCCGAACCUGCUCCACCACGGCGGCGCGCGACCCCUGCACGGCGGCCAGGUCCACCGUGGGAAUCACCGGCGCAGAUUCGGAUUCGAACCCGCGCUUCAGCUCCGCUAAGGUUUCGGGCGGGUGAACGAAGAUAGCGGGGAUAGCCUUGAUUCCCGAAUCGACCAAACCUUUGACUCCGACCUUGGUUUCUUCGAACUCCUUCACCGCUUUGGCGCGGUUGUACGGCGCGGCGGCGCUGACAGCGGUUGCCACCGGUGAUGACAUUGGGAAGAGGCGAGAAUAGGAAUCGUUGUUUGAGUGUAGAGAGUUCAAAUUCAGUGUAAAGUGAAUUGAAAACUAUAAAGUGCACUUUUCUGAUUCGGCACAAAAAAUAAAUAACAAAAAUAUAUUACUCAAGAAACUUCACUAAUUCUAGUCAUUUUUUUAUUCAACAGGUUUUUUUUUCUUAUAUAAAAGCGUUACAUAUUCAUUUUGAAAUAAUAUGUCAAGUAACCAUAAUUAUUUGUUAUUACAUAAAAAAUAUAUAUUAUUAAAAAAAUAUAAAAAUAUAAAAUGAUUAGAACAAAAUCUUUAUAUUAAUAAAAAUAAUAUAUAAAUAAAUUAACAUAUUCAUAAAAAAUUCUAAAAUCAAAUUAAAAUUAAAUACAUAUUUUUUCCUUAAUUUAUCGAAAACACUCACUUUUAGAACAAAUAAUAUUUUAAAUAUAAUAAUUAAUUUUAAUAAUACUAUAUUUCUUCAUAAGAAUAUUCAAAUUAUAGUGAUGUUAUCAGUUACCUAACACUAAAAUAAUAUAAAUUUGGCCUUAUAGGAUGUUUUUAGAAUGUUGAAUUUUUACUAGAAAAUAAAAUAAAAUAAAAUUUAUUUGAAACACUAAAAUAAAAUAACACUAAAACAUAAUAUCUUACUAGAAAAUAAAAUUCUAGUUCUGUAAUGUGAGUGAUAAGAAUAUUUGAACUCAACCAGUCAAAGAUAUUGACUUUAUAUCUAUCAAAUUUAUCGUACUUAAAUCUACUAAAAUAUAAUUUCAUAAUUUAUUUAUAUAUACUAAUUCAUAGAAUAAUUUGUUCGUGUUUUUAUUAUGUAUUAAUUAAAGGUUUCGAUUUUUUUGUAUUUUAAACUUUAAUUCUUUAAAUUUUAAUCAAUAUUAUAAUUAGUAAAUAAAAUAAUAUGUUAGUCCACUUUGUUAGAAACUAGGGAAAUAAAAGGCGUGCCUAUAUGUUUAUAUUUUUUUAUGAUAAUAAUAAAAGAUAAUUAAUAUAAUUAUUGUUAUUACAAUGAAAUGUAAUUAUCCUAAAAAAGUUAGCUAAUGAAUAUAAAAACAGAGAGAAUAAAUUAAUAAAAAUAGUGUAUAAAAAAUAGUCAUGAAAACUAAUUCAUAGCUAAUAUUAAAAUGACGAUCAAUGAAAAUAAGAUUUUUUAUAAGUCAAGAUUUUUAGCUUUAUUGACAAUGAUUAGUUUCAAAUUAAUAUUAUUAAAAAUUAUUUAUCCAUAGAUGUUUGAUGUUAAUGGGGUUUUAUUUAGAUGUUAGCCAAAAGACUUCUAUUGAAAUUUUUAGUAGCUAUUUUUCAUCUGCUAAAAUUAUUUUAUGAACAAUAUUUCUAAUAUUAUUUGACGAUAAUUUUUGUAUUUAAAUUUUUUAUUUAGUAAUAAUUAAAAUACUCAAUUCAAAAAGUAAUAAAUUUGAAUUUUCUUGUUCAAACAAAAUAUUUGAAUAUUAAAAAUUAAAAAUAAAAGUAAGUGAAAUGGAAUAUAUUUAAACUUUUUAAAAAAUAUAGAAUUUUGACCAUAGAAUAAAAAAAUGUAUUAACAAGGGAAGAAGGGGUUGGUGAAGGCAUGGAAAGGUUAGAGUAUAUUCAACUUUCUGAAUAUGACUUUUAAACAAUUUUAUUCAAUCAAUGCUACAAUAUACAUUAUUGAAUAUUUGAGGUGCCUUGAAUUUUGGACUGUUUCUUCUUCUACCAUCAUAGUUUCUUCCUACCUUCAAUCUCAUAAUUCUUAAAAUAUCAAAAAUAUAUUUUAUUCUAUUAAUGUUUUUUUUUUAAAUAAUAUCAAUCUCAUUUUUUAAAAUAUCAAAAAUAUUUUCUAUUUUAUUAAUUUUUUUAAUUUCUAAAUAAUAAUUUGAAAAAACUUUGAAUUAUAGAAUUUAUAAAAUAACUUGUGGAGGUAUUUUUCGUGGAGUAUGGGAGAAUUUAUUGGAGCUUUACUGAGUUUCUUGAAGUUCAAACUGCUCUUCCUGUUGUGUUUUAUGGGGUUAUACAUGCUAUGGAGGAAGCUUAAAAGAUGUGGCUUACUUUUGUUUAGCUAGAAUGUGAUUCUACUUUGAUUUAAUCGAUGAAAUAUUUGUCUUAAUUAUUGUGAAAAAAUUAGAUUUAGGUUUACUCAUAUUUUUCGCGAAGGGAAUGCGUAGGCUGAUAAGUUAACUAAUUUAGAAUUUAUUCAUAGAAAAUCUUUUCAUUGUUAUAAUAAGCUACUAUCUAGUAUGUUUUUAAAAUUCUUUAUAAAUAAAUAUAGUUUACAUAUGUAUCGUUUUUGUUAAUAUAUAGAUUUUAGUUUAGUCACCCUAUAUUUUUUUAUUUUUUUUUAAUAAUAUUUUUUUUUAUGUGAUGGCAAAUGAUUGUUAUUACUUGAGAUGUCAACAUAACUAAGAUGGAUGCCUAACAUAAAAACUUUUAUUUAAAAAAAAAAUCUUCAUAAUUUUAUAAACUAAAAUGUGUUUUUUUAAAAAAAUAUUUCAAAUUAUUAAAUUUGAAAGGUAUUUCUAAAUCAAAGAAUAAAUUUUGAAUUCCAUAAUCUUGAAUUUAUUUUAUUUUAGAAAAAAUAUAUUCUGAAUUGUAGAAUCCAUAACUACAAUCCAGAUAUAUAAAUUAAAAAAAAAUACAUUCAAAAAUUAUAAAAUCUAUAAAUUAUUUUUAGAUUUGAAAAUAUAUUUUAAAUUCUUUAAUUCAUAAUAUAUUUUUUAAAGAAUACAAUAUUUUUGGAUUACUUAUAUUCCAGACUAAAUAAGAAAAAUUACAUUUUAAAUUGUAAAAUUUAGAAAAUACAUUCCAAAUUUUUUAAAAAUAAAAUAAUAUUUUCGUCUGAAAUAUAACAAUGUUAGAAGAAGCUAUAGAGAUUAGAAGAAGCUAUGAAGGUUUAAGAAGAAAGAGUCUCACCAUGUUUCAUGAAAAUUAUUAACUCAAUAAAAGAAGAGAAAGUUAUAAAGAUGUUUUAUAUUUGACCACCAGUCUCCACACAUUAAAGAUGAAAAAAUUAAUUUUCUCACCCGAAAGAUAUUUAUAAUCUCUUAUUAAAAAAUUAUAAAUUAAUUUAUACAACAAUUAAUUUAAAUUUUUAAAAAAUAUUCUCCCAAAAAUAUUUAUACAAAAUUUUGUCUAAAAAAAUUCUAAGUGUAUAGAGAUUCAUCAUUUUCAAGUACUUUUUUAAGUAUUUGAAUGUUCACUCUUACCCAAAAUAUGUAAAAAGAAGUUUCAAUAUAUUCUAAAUAGUACAUAAGAAAAUAGUUACAACCACAUCAUUGUUUUUUCUAGAACCUUCUGAAACAUUCUAAGGCUUUCCAAAAUAUUAAAACAUUCUACAACCUCAUUAAAGUUUCUAAUUUAUACCUUAAAUAAUUUUAAUCUAUAGAAAAGCGCUUUCUUGUCUUGUAAAAGUUCUAAAAGAAGUUUUAUAAAUUAACUAGUUUGUUACCAACACUGAAAAAUAUACAUGCAAUAUAGGAUGACACAAUGUUUAGUUAGAGAUCCAAUACCAAUUUAAGUCAUAAUAAGAAUGAAAAAGUUAGACAUCAAAUAAAAAAAACAUAAAUUCUUAGAAAAAUUUUAUGAAUUGAUAUAAUCUACUUAUGUAUCGUUUUUGUUAACAUAUGAGUUUUGGUCUAAUUUUAUUUUUUUUUAAUAAUAUUUUUUUCAUACGAUAACAAAUGAUUAUUGUCACUUGAGGUGUCAGCAUAGCUGAAAUGUCAAAUUGCAUAAUAAUGCCUAAAAUAAAAACUUUUAUUUAAAAAAAAAUCAUAAAUUCAUUUGAGUUGAAAAAUGUCUAAUAUGUGUUACUAAAACUAGAGUAUAUCAUAAGUGAGGGAGGAACCAUUAUUGUUUCAAUUCAUCAACCACCUUUAACCUUUUAUUCACAAUAUAAACUAAUUAGUUUAAAAUAUCAUCAUAUCACAUCAACCUUUUUAAAUCAAUACUUAAAAAGUUUUUAACAUAUACAAUCAGAAACUAUAGGUGCUAAGUGUGUGUUCAUCACUGCCUGAAGAAAUUUGUGAGUGAUUUACCAUCCAACUCUUUCUUGAAGAAUCUGGUCAUAAAUUCAUGGAAAGUGAAGUUCCUGUAAAGGGCUGGUUUCUCGGUUGAUGUUAGCUCUGGCAAUGGUCCAAAGAGUUUCUCCCUGUCACUUGGAUUGAGGAAAACAGCAACUGAGACUCUAGCCUCAUUACAAUGAUUAGCUAACACUCGAUGAUGAGCACUCUUAUAUGCUUCGUUAGAAAUUAUCUGAAACACAAAAUAAUGAAUAUGAAAGAUCAGAAAAAGGGAUGUCAUAAAACAAUUCCUACAUAUAUAACCUGGUAGACCUUCAAAUUUAACCAAAGUUUUUCUUGAAGUUAUAAAUGGUUCAAAUAAUAUGUUUACAAAAUCAUAAAAGUCACGUUGAUGCUAAGUUAACAAAUUGAUUUCAUAACUUUGCUUCAAAAUCUUAAUUCUAAUUAAUUUAAUUCCGUUCUUUUUGUUUGUCAAAUGCAUUCUCUUCAAAAUUAAGACCACUAAUAAUCUAUUAUUUUCAUUCUAUUAAACCAACUAACCACCAACUUCACCAACUUGACCAUAACAUUUUAAAGUAAAUAUUUUAGAUAAAUAAUGAUGAAAGGAUUAAAAAUAAUGUAAUUCUCAAGUGUUUUAAGAUGUUUCAAAUUAUUGACCCACAUGAAACAUCCAUCAUCAUAAGCACAAAAAUUAAGUGAAACAAGGCUUUAUUUAAUUAAACAAUUAUUAUUAUAUAUGAACAAAAUAAAAUAAAAUAUGAACCUGAAGGAAAUCUCCAAUGUUAAUAACCAAAGCUUGAGGCUGAGGCUUCACAUGGAUCCAACCAUCUGGAGUCUCAACCUGCAAGCCCCCAAUAUGGUCCUGCAGCAACACCGUAAGAGCCCCUGGAUCAGUAUGUGAAUUGAGACCCACCGUUAGAUCAGGCUGAGGGCAAAACGGGUAAUAGUGCCCCACCAUACCUCUUCCUUCCCCCAAACCCAUCUCCCUGAACCUCUCCGCACCCAAUCCCAGCCCCUCACUCAGCAACUCAAACAACACACUCGAAACACGCACCACCUCCUUAUUCCACUCCACCACCUCUUCUCUGCACAUCUCGGGAAUCUCCCUGGGAUCAACGGCUGUGGGCCCCAUUCUUAUCUGCAAAAUCAAAAUUAAAACUCAUAUUUAUUUUAUGAUUUCAUACAAUUUAUUUAUUUUCAAUGCCGAUUAAGUUUAAAUGUUUUCCAAAAAUUUAUAUUAUUUAAAGUUAAAAAAAUAGUCUGUGUGCCUUUUUAGACAGAAAUUUUAAAUAAUAAACACCAAAUAUUAAUUAGUACUUUCGAGGCUUGUAAAAAGGUUAAAUUUUAGUUUUAGUUGUUAUUUUAUUUUUUAUACGUGAUUUCGGUAACUAAAUAUUAAAGAGACUAAAUCACAAAUAAAAAAUUAAAAAAUAAAUUGCAAUUUAGCCUAUCGAAAAUUGCAUGAAUCUAAAAUUUUGUUUUAUAAACUAUAACCUAAUUUCUCUUGUUUCAAAAAUUAAUUAUUUAAAUUAAAAUUAUUAAUUAAAUAUACAUUUAAUCUUUCCUCAACAUGAUUUAUUUUAUGAAUAAAAGAACAUAAUUAAAACUUGAACCAAGUGGUCCCAGGAACACGAGUCCUAAUGCGUCAACCGAUUUAAAUUAUUUUUAAUUACAAAUUUUGUAUUACUUAAUCUUUGGUGAAGAUUAAUGAAUACAGAAUACCAAUAUAUUAUUAACUAAUAAAAAAUAGUUUUGAUAUAAUAUUUAAGAUAAUUAUUACUAAAUAUCGUAGAUUUAUUAUUUAUGGUGAAUAGUGAUUAGAAGGCGUUUCCCGUUUUUGACGCUAUGCUGAAAGUCACCGAGAAAUUAAAAUUCUUCAUAUAUUUCAGUUUUUAGAAGUAAUAAAAAAUAUUAAUCUUACACAAAAAAAAUUAAUUCACUUUAAAUUUACAAAAAUAAAAUAAAAAUCUCUUUCAUAAUAAUUAAUUGUAUAUUAAUAUUAAUUUCAAGUAUUAAUAGAAUUAAAAUUUCGUUAGUUACUCGUAUUGUGUCACGCCAGCUGGCAGCUUUUGAUUGGAAGAGAUCCACGUUGGAAAUGUACGAUACGCCCUUCCCCAUCUCUCUACGGUACACAGGCACUCUGUCCUCCGCGGGCUGCUCGUGGAACGCCUUCACCGCCGCCAGAGUUCGCCGGAGUACCUGCUCCGGGACGCCGUGGUUGAUCACCUGGAAGAACCCCACCGUGCUCGCCGCCUGCCGAACCCGCUCCACCACGGCGGCGCGCGACCCCUGCACGGCGGCCAGGUCAACCGUGGGAAUCUCCGGCGCAGAUUCGGAUUCGAACCCGCGCUUCAGCUCCGCUAAGGUUUUGGGCGGGUGAACGAAGAUAGGGGGGAUGGCCUUGAUCCCAGAAUCGACCAAACCUUUGACUCCGACCUUGGUUUCUUCGAACUCCUUCACCGCUUUCGCGCGGUUGUACGGCGCGGCGGCGCUGACAGCGGUGGCCACCGGCGAUGACAUUGGGAAGAGGCGAGAAUAGGAAUCGUUGUUUGAGUGUAGAAAGUUCAAAUUCAGUGCAAAGUGAAUUGAAAACUAUAAAGUGCAGUUUUCUGAUUUGGCACAAAAAUUAAAUAACAAAAAUAUAUUAGUCAAGAAACUUCACUAAUUCUAGUCAUUUUUUUAUUCAACAGGUUUUUUUUCUUAUUAAAAUAUAUCAAGUAACCAUAAUUAUUUAUUAUUACAUAAAAAAUAUAUUAUUAAAAAAUAUAUAUAUAAAAAUAAAAAAUAUGAAAUGAUUAGAUCAAAAUCUUUAUAUUAAAUAAAAUAAUAUAUAAAUAAAUUAUACAUAUUUAUAAAAAAUCUUAAAUCAGAUUAAAGGUUAAUAAGAAUUUAAAUAUAUAUUUUUCUUUAAUUUAUCGAACAACACUAACCUUUAAAACAAAUAAUAUUUCAAAUGUAAUAAUUAAUUUUAAUAAUACUAUAUUUCUUCAGAAGAAUAUUCAAAUUACAGUGAUGUUAUCAGUUACCUAACACUAAAAUAAUAUAAAUUUGGCCUUAUAGGAUGUUUUUAGAAUGUUGAAUUUUUUAUAAGGUGAGAAAGAAAAUACCAAUAGAAAAAUAAUUUUUAUAAUAGAGUUUAUAUGAAAUUAAGCUAAAAGCACUUUUAUAAGUAUAUCCAUUAUGAACUUCUCGAAGUAAGAAUAUUAUUAAUAGAGUUUAAUAUUUAACAAUUUAACUAUAUCAUGUAUAACUAAUAAUAAGUUGAUUUUUUUACUUAACCUUAACCUUAUUUAUGGAGGUUGAAAGCUCUAUAAAUAUAAAUACUUAUCAAAGAAAACAUAAUAUCUUACUAGAAAAUAAAAUUGUAGUUCUGUAACGUGAGUGAUAAAAAUAUUUGAAUUCAACCAGUUAAAGAUAUUGACUUUAUAUCUAUCAAAUUUAUCGUACUUAAAUCUACUAAACUAUAAUUUCAUAAUUUAUUUAUAUAUACUAAUUCAUAGAAUAAUUUGUUCAUGUUUUUAUUAUGUAUUAAUUAAAGGUUUCAAUUUUUUUGUAUUUUAAAAUUUAAUUCUUUAAAUUUUAAUCAAUAUUAUAAUUAGUAAAUAAAAUAAUAAGUUAGUCCACUUUGUUAGAAACUAGGGAAAUAAAAGGCGUGCCUAUAUGUUUAUUUUUUUAUGAUAAUAAAAGAUAAUUAAUAUAAUUAUUGUUAUUACAAUGAAAUGUAAUUAUCCUAAAAAAGUUAACUAAUGAAUAUAAAAACAGAGAGAAUAAAUUAAUAAAAAUAGUGUAUAAAAAAUAGUCAUGAAAACUAAUUCAUAGCUAAUAUUAAAAUGACGAUCAAUGAAAAUAAGAUUUUUUUAUAGUCAAUGUAAGUCAAGAUUUUUAGCUUUAUUGACAAGGAUUAGUUUCAAAUUAAUAUUAUUAAAAUGAUUUAUCAUCAAAUCAAGUUAUAACUAUUUAUUCAUAGAUGUUUGAUAUUUAGUGGGGUUUUAUUUAGAUGUUAGCCAAAAAAACUUCUAUUGAAAUUUUUAGUAGCUAUUUUUAAUCUGCUAGAAUUAUUUUAUGAACAAUAUUUCUAAUAUUAUUUGACGAUAAUUUUUGUAUUUAAUAUUUUUUAUUAAGUAAUAAUUAAAAUACUCAAUUCAAAAAAAUAAUAAACUUGAAUUUUCUAUUUGGGUGAUAGAAUUUUGAGCAUAGAAUAAAAGAAUGUGUUAACAAGGGAAGAACGUUUUGGUGAAGGCAUGGAAAGGUUAGAGUAUAUUCAACUUUCUGAAUAUAUGACUUUUAAGCAAUUUUAUUCAAUCAAUGCUACAACAUACAUUAUUGAAUAUAUUUGAGUUGACAUGACUUUUGGACUGCUUCUUCUUCUACCAUCAUAGUUUCUUCAAAGCUUCUUCCUACCUUCAAUCUCAUAAUUCUUAAAAUAUCAAAAAUAUAUUUUAUUUUAUUAAUGUUUUUUUUUAAAUAAUAUCAAUCUCAUUCUUUAAAAUAUCAAAAAUAUGUUAUAUUUUAUUAAAAUAUUUAAUUUCUAAAUAAUAAUUUGAAAAAACUCUGAAUUAUAGAAUUUAUAAAAUAUUUUUAAAUAUCCCGGUCUGGUUACUUGUUAAGGUAUUUUUCAUGGAAGUAUAGGGAAAUUUAUUGAAACUUUCUCUGCGUUUCUUGAAGUUCAGACUGCUCUGGUUGCUGAGUUUUAUGGGGUUAUACAUGCUAUGGAGAAAACUCAAAAGAUGGGGCUUUCUAAUGUCUGACUAGAAUGUGAUUUUGCUUUGGUUUGUGUUGCGUUUAUGGUUAUGACCAAUGUUCUUUGGAUGUUUCGUAAUCGAUGAAAUACUUGUCUUAAUUACUGUGGAAAAAUCAGAUUUAGGGUUACUCAUAUUUUUCGUGAAAGGAAUGCGUGUGUUGAUAAGUUGACAAUAUAAUUUAUUCAUAGAGAAUUUUUUCAUUGGUAUAAUACAUCUAGUAUAUUCUUAGAAUUAUUUAUGAAUAUGUAUCGUUUUUGUUAAUAUAUGCGUUUUGAUCUAAUUUAUCAUAUUUUCUUUCUUUUUCUUUUUUAAUAAUAUUUUUUUCAUGUGAUGAAAAAUAAUUGUUGUUACUUAGUGUAAGCAUAACUGAUAUAUGUCUAAGUUGCAUAAUGAUUACGAAAAAAUACAUUAAACAUGAAAGGUUUUAUUUUAAAAAAAAAACUUUCAUAAUUCUAUAAACUAAAAUGUGUUUUUUUUAAAAGAAUAUUCCAAAUUAUUAAAUAUGAAAGGUAUUUUUAAAUUAAAAAAUACAUUUUAAAUUCCAUAAUCUUGAAUUUGAAUUUAUUUUAUUUAAGAAAAAAUAUAUUCUGAAUUGUAGUCCAUAACUACAAUCCAGAUAUAUAAAUUAAAAAAAAAUUCAUUCAGAAAUUAUAAAAUCUAGAAAGUAUUUUUAUAUUUGAAAAUAUAUUUUAAAUUCUAUAAUUCAUAAUAUAUUUAAAAUAAAUAUUUUUGGAUUUCUUAUAAUCCAGAGUAAAUAAGAAAAAUUACAUUCUAAAUUAUAAAAUUUAGAAAAUACAUUCCAAAAAUUUUAAAAAUAAAAUAAUUUUUUCGUCUGAAAUAUAACAAUGUUAGAAGAAGCUAUGGAGGUUUAAGAAGAAAGAGUCUCAUCACCAUGUUUCAUGAAAAUUAUUAACCCAAUAAAAGAAGAGAAAGUUAUAAAGAUGUUUUAUAUUUGACACCACACAUUAAAGAUGAAAAAUUAAAUUUCUCACUCGAAAGACAUUUAUAGUCUCUUAUUAAAAAAUUAUAAAUUAAUUUAUACAUCAAUUAAUUUAAAUUUUAAAAAAAUGUUCUCCCAAAAAUAUUUAUAGAAAAUUUUGCCUAACAAAUUUCCAAUUGUAUAGAGAUUCAUCAUUUUCAAGUACUUUUUUAAGUAUUUGAAUGUUCACUCUUACCAAAAUAUGUAAAAAGAAGUUUCAAUAUCUUCUAAAGUACAUAAGAAAAUAGUUACAACCACAUCAUUGUUUUUUCUAGAACCUUAUGAAACAUUCUAAGGCUUUCCAAAAUAUUAAAGCAUUCUACAACCUCAAUAAAGUUUCUAAUUUAUACCUUAAAUAAUUUUAAUCUAUAGAAAAGCACUUUCUUGUCUUGUAAAAAUUCUAAAAGAAGUUUUAUAAAUUAACUAGUUUGUUACCAACACUGAAACAUAUACACUUGGCUUGCAACAUGCAAUAUAGGAUCACAAUAACCAGAAGUAUGAACAAGAUGACACAAUGUUUAGUUAGAAAUCCAAUACCAAUUUAAGUCAAAAUAAGAAUGAAAAAGUUAGACAUCAUAUAAAAAAAACAAAAAUUCUUUAUGAAUAGGUAUAGUCUAUCUAUGUAUCGUUUUUGUUAACAUAUGAGUUUUGGUCUAAUUUUCCAAUCUUUUUUAAUAAUAUUUUUUUUCAUGACAAAUGAUUAUUGUCACUUGAGGUGUCAACAUAGCUGAAAUGUCAAAUUACAUAAUAAUAACUAAAAUAAAAAUUUUUAUUUAAAAAAAAAACAAAAAAAAAUCAUAAAUUCAUUUGAGUUGAAAAAUGUCUAAUAUGUGUUACUAAAACUAGAGUAUAUCAUAAGUGAGGGAGGAACCAUUAUUGUUUCAAUUCAUCAACCACCUUUAACCUUUUAUUCACAAACUAAUUAGUUUAAAAUAUCAUCAUAUCACAUCAACCUUUUUAAAUCAAUACUUAAAAUGUUUUUAACAUUGACAUAUACAACCAGAAAUUAUAGGUGCUAAGUGUGUGUUCAUCACUGCCUGAAGAAAUUUGUGAGUGAUUUUCCAUCCAACUCUUUCUUGAAGAAUCUGGUCAUAAAUUCAUGGAAAGUGAAGUUCCUGUAAAGGGCGGGUUUCUCAGUUGAUGUUAACUCUGGCAAUGGUCCAAAGAGUCUCUCCCUGUCACUUGGGUUGAGGAAAACAGCUACUGAGACUCUAGCCUCAUUACAAUGAUUAGCUAACACUCGAUGAUGAGCACUCUUAUAUGCUUCGUUAGAAAUUAUCUGAAACACAAAAUAAUGAAUAUGAAAGAUCAGAAAAAGGGAUGUCAUAAAACAAUUCCUACAUAUAUAACCUGGUAGACCUUCAAAUUUAACCAAAGUUUUUCUUGAAGUUAUAAAUGGUUCUAAUAAUAUGUUUACAAAAUUAUAAAAGUCAAGUUGGUGCUAAGUUAACAAAUUAAUUUCAUAACCUUGCUUCAAAAUGUAAAAUUUAAUUAAAUUACUUUCCUUCUUUUUGUCUGUCAAAUGCAUUCUCUUCAAAAUUAAGAUCACUAAUAAUCUAUUAUUUUCAUUUUCAAAAAUAUUAUCUUAUCUUAAAAUAUCAUACCAUUUAUGUCUUGUGUGAGUAUCAUUAAUUUUGACUCUUAAACGAUACGAGAAUAAGCAAUGUGAAAAUAAUUAACAUAUAGCAAGGAGACCAUAAUAUUUUAAAGUAAAUAUUUUAAAUAAAUAAUCUUGAAAGGAUUAAAAAUAAUGUAAUUCUCAAAGUGUUUGUUUCAAAUUAUUGACCCACAUGAAAGAUACAUCAUGAUAAGCACAAAAAUUAAGUGACACAAGGGUUUAUUUAAUUAAACAAUUAUUAUUAUAUAUGAACAAAAUAAAAUAAAAUAUGAACCUGAAGGAAAUCUCCAAUGUUAAUAACCAAAGCUUGAGGCUGAGGCUUCACAUGGAUCCAACCCUGUGGGGUCUCAACCUGCAAGCCCCCAAUAUGGUCCUGCAGCAACACCGUAAGAGCCCCUGGAUCAGCAUGCGAAUUAAGACCCACCGUUAGAUCAGGCUGAGGGCAAAACGGGUAAUAAUGGCCCACCAUAAUUCUUCCUUCUCCCAAACCCAUCUCCCUGAACCUCUCCGCACCCAAUCCCAGCCCCUCACUCAGCAACUCAUACAACACACUCGAAACACGCACCACUUCCUUAUCCCACUCCACCACCUCUUCUCUGCACACCUCGGGAAUCUCGAUAGGAUCAACGGCUGUGGGCCCCAUUCUUAACUGCAAAAUAAAAUAAAAAAUUCAUAUUUAUUUUAUUUUUUAUUUUUUAUUUUUAUCGGCAAUGAAAAACGAAUUAAAUAUGAUUCAGAGUAGAGAGGUGUUCUUACUAAACAAACUUCAAAAUAUGCCUACUGAAUCCAGAUAAAAAUACUAUAGAAUCACUUAAUUAAGGUGCUCAAGCCAAGACAACAAUGAAAAUAUUUAUUUUAAUAUUAAUUUUAAUUAUAAAAUUCGUAUUAAUAUUUAAAAUAGUUAUUACUAAAUAUCGUAAAUUUAUUAUUUAUGGUGAAUUAUGAUCAGAAGGCUAUUCCCACCGAGAAAUUAAAAUUCAUGGUAUAUUUCAGUUUUGGUAGUAAUAAAAAAUAUUAAUCUUGCACAAAUUUUUAAUUCACUUUAAAUUUACAAAAAUAAAAAAAUCUCUUUAAUAUUAAUUAAUUGUAUAUUAAUAUUAAUUUUUUUAAUAGCAUAUGAUACCAAAGAUCAAGUAUUAGUUACCUGAAUUGUGUCACGCCAGCUGGCAGCUUUUGAUUGGAAGAGAUCCACGUUGGAAAUGUAAGAUACGCCCUUCCCCACCUCCCUACGGUACACCGGCACCCUGGCCUCCGCGGGCUGCUCGUGGAACGCCUUCACCGCCGCCAGAGUUCGCCGGAGUACCUGCUCCGGGACGCCGUGGUUGAUCACCUGGAAGAACCCCACCGUGCUGGCCGCCUGUCGAAUCUGCUCCACCACGGCGGCGCGCGACCCCUGCACGGCGGCCAGGUCUACCGUGGGAAUCUCCGGCGCUGAUUCGGAUUCGGACCCGCGCUUCAGCUCCGCUAAGGUUUCGGGCGGGUGAACGAAGAUAGGGGGGAUAGCCUUGAUUCCCGAAUCGACCAAACCUUUGACUCCGACCUUGGUUUCGUCGAAUUCCUUCACCGCUUUCGCGCGGUCGUAUGGCGGGGCGGCGCUGAGCGCGGUGGCCACCGGCGAUGACAUUGGGAAGAAGCGAGAAUAGGAAUCGUUGUUUGUGUGUAGAAAGUUCAAAUUCAGUGUAAAGUGAAUUGAAAACUAUAAAGUGCAGUUUUCUGAUGCGGUUCAACAAAUAAAUAACAAAAAUAGAUUAGUCAAGAAACUUCACUAGUUCUGGUCUUUUUUUUAUUCCAAUUAUAUUUCUUUAUUUACACGACUCAAAAUUAAAAUAUGAAAUAACAAAUUAUAUUUAAUUAAAAUGAUAAACUAUUAUUGGUUACCUAACACUACAAAAAUAUAAAUUUUGUCUUAUAUGAUAUUUUUGGAGUGUUGAAUUUUUUAUAAGGUGAAAAAAAAAUACCAAUAGAAAAAGAUUAUAAUAGAUUUUUUUUUAAAUGGGUUGAAAUUAAGGGAAAGAUUGUGUUUUUUUUUUCUUUUUUUUAAAUGGUUUUUUAAAUGGUUUUUGCGCUCUUAUUUAUAUAAACAUAACGAAUUUAGUCGGUUAGUGAUGAGACUUCCAAGUGUUCCAUAAAUUCGAUAUAAAAUUUAUAUAAAUUUAAGUUAAAAAAUACUCUUAUACGUAUAUAUUAUGAAACUUCUCAAACUAAAAAUAUUAUUAAUAGAGUUUAGUAUUGAACAAUUUAACUAUAUCGUUUAACUAAUAAGUUUAUUUUUUUUUACUUGAGUUUAGUAUUGAACAAUUUAACUAUAUCGUUUAACUAAUAAGUUGAUUUUUUUUCACUUGAGGUUGAAAACCUUAUAAAUACAAGUAUUUAACAAAGAAAACAUAAUAUCUUAAUAGAAAAUGAAAUUGUAGUUAUGUAACGUAAGUGAUAAGAAUAUUUGAAUUUAACCAUUCAAAGAUAUUGACUUCUGAUAUCAACUUUAGAAAAUCAGAUUUAUUAAAUUUAUUGUACUUAAAUCUAUUAAAAUAUAAUUUCAUAAUUUGUUUACAUAUAAUUAUUUAUAAUAUAACAUUUUCAUAUUUUUAAUAUGAAUUAAUUAAAUGUUUCAAUUUUUUUGUAUUUUUAAACUUUAACUUUUAAAUUUUUAUUUAAAUUUUAAUCAAUAUUAUAAUUAUUAAAUAAAAUAAGAUAUGUGAGUCCACUUUCUUGGAAACUAUGGAAAACAGAGGCAUGCUUAUAUGUUUAUCUUCUUUUAUGAAAAUAAAAGAUAAUUAAUAUAAUUAUUAUUAUUAUUAUAAUGAAAAGUAAUUGUCCUAAAAAAGUUAGAUAAUGAAUAUAAAAACAGAAAGAAUAAAUUAAUAAAAAAAAGUGUAUAAAAAACAGUCAUGGAAAUUAAUUCAACUUAGUAGUGGUUAUAAAUAAAGUAAUAUAUCUAUUUAAAACUUGAAAAGAAAAGUGUAAUUUUCGAUUUUCUCAUUUGUUAACUUUCGUGGUAAUGGUCUUAAAAACUAUGUUUUUUUUUUUUAAUGAAAAUUUUCAUGUUAGGCAUCCCUAUGCAACUUGACAUCUCAGCUAGGCUGACAUCUCAAGUAACAACAAUCAUCUGCCAUCACAUGAAAAAAGUAUUAUUAAAAAAAAGGAAAAAAAAGAAAAUACAAAAAUAUGGGGGGACUAGACCAAAACCCACAUGUUAACAAAAACGAUACAUAGGUAGACUAUACCUAUUCAUAAAGAAUUCUAAGAACAGACUAGAUGGAAGUCUAUUAUACCAAUGAAAUGAUUGUCUAUGAAUGAACCCUAAAUUAGCCAACUUAUCAGCACAUGCAUUUCCCUCACGAAAAAUACGAGUAACCCUAAACCUGAUUGUCCUACAGAAAUUAAGACAAGUAUUCCAUCGAUUACGAAGCAUCCACGGAACAGUAGUCCUAGCAGUAAACGCAGCACAAACCAAGACAGAAUCACAUUCAAGCCAAACAUUAGUAAGUCCCAUCUUCUGAGCUUCCUCCAUAGCAUGUAUAACUCCAUAAAACUCAGCAACCAAAGCAGUUUGAAUUUCAAGAAACCCUGAAAAAGCACCAAUAAAUUCUCCCAUACUCCCACGGAAAAUACCUCCACAAGUAGCAAGUCCAGGAUACCCCUAGCAGCCCCAUCAGUGUUAAUUUUAACCCAGCCUGGUGAAGGAAAUUCCCAUCUAACUGAAAGAGGAUGAAGAACUUUCCCACUACGAGUCUUAAUACCAAUAAUAUUAUUAUUUUAUUUGGAGUUAGGAUUUGAAAUUCUUAAAAACUAUGUUUUAUUAACUAACAGUGUAAUAAAAUUUAUAUUCAUAAUUUGGAGGAACAAUAUCAAAUACCAACCAUGUCAUACAAAUUAAACAACAGGCUAAAUAAAUACAAAAACAAAAUAGUUUAAAUACUCAUGAAAACAAAAAAUUUAAAGAACAUUUUAAUUAAAAAUAUACAAAUUUAUAAAGUAGUAAAACCUCAGUUAAACUUAUAUUAUAUUACGAAAUUAAGAUUAGAAAAUAAGAAAUAAGGAUCAAAUUCUUUAAAACGUUAAAAAAUAAUAAAUAAAAAAAAUAAAGAAAUGGUGAAAGAAAAGAUCACGCAACUAUUGUUUUGCAUUGACGUGGCAGGCUUUGAGCCAAAAGUUGAAACCGGAAGUUCCCACACGCUACGCUGGAGUGAGGUCUCAUCUUUCGCUGGAAACAAUGACAGCUUACGUAUUCCACCUAUCAUAAAAUGUUACACAAUGGCAUUUUUUAAUAAAUAUAAAUUUUAAAAUAUAACUGAUAUAAUAAGUAUAUGUUAUAUUUGUUUUCUAUGUGUGGAUGUGGGAACCUAAGUAAUGUUUAUUCACUUGAUAUACAAUUUGCUGUUGUGUCGGUAGUUUCUGAAUUUUUUAAAGUUGUUCUUCUCCUACGUGUGUGCUCCGUUGGUCGGUGGAUGGGUAUCUGCGAUUGCACUUCGUCGUUCAAGUCAGUGCUAGUGAUUAGUUUGUUAUCUUAGGAUAUGAAAAACGUACAUUUUCCCUCUUCAGAAGUCUUAUUUAUAGGUUGACCUGGACCUCCUUCGUGUGGGUCAGAUAAUCAGUUUAUUAAGACGUGUGUAGGUCGUGUGUAGUGACUUCUUAAAAUCAUGAGAGUGUAUUCGAAGUACAACUCAUUCAACGCAAACUAUAUAACAGUUUUCUUGCCACGUAUGUUAUAUUAUUAAUUCAUGUAUUGGAUCGGACUCGUACAUGUUUAUUAUAAAAUCGUUAUAGAAACUUAUUCACUAUAUCAUCUGAAGUUUUAACUGACAUAGGUACUUCUCUCAUGUGAGUUUUACACACUUAGUUUCACUAAUAUUUUAUGUGAUUCACUAAAAUGGAGGUAUUGGUGGCGCAAAAGACGAAGCAGCGAGGGUUUGCGUUAGCAUCUGUUUCUGAGGUUUCCAAGUUUCUUCUUUUUUUUUUUAAUCUGUGGUGUGGCACAUCAUUGGUUUGACUGAUGCAUGCUAGUUUUAUAUCUUUGUGUUUACUUUUCUUAUAAAGUGGUGUUUUGCAAGUGAUGUUAAAUACGAUUUUUUUUAUUAACAUCAAUUAGAAUUAUUUUGAAUAGAUCUUAGUUAGGAUUGAUGUAGUUGAUGUGGAUGUAAUUUAUGAUUAUUUUUUUUACUAAUGUCAAUUAUAGCUAAUAUUAAAAUGACUAUCAAUGAAAAUAAGAUUUUUUAUAGUCAAUGUAAGUCAAGAUUUUUAGCUUUAUUGACAAGGAUUAGUUUCAAAUUAAUAUUAUUAAAAUGAUUUAUCAUCAAAUCAAGUUAUAACUAUUUAUCCAUAGAUGUUUGAUGUUAGUGGGGUUUUAUUUAGAUGUUAGCCAAAAAACUUCUAUUGGAAUUUUUAGUAGCUACUUUUCAUAUUUUAUGAACAAUAUUUCCAAUAUUAUUUGAUGAUAAUUUUUGUAUUUAAUAUUUUUUAUUUAGUAAUAAUUAAAAUACUCAAUUCAAAAAAAUAAUAAACUAGAAUUUUCUUGUUCAAACAAAAUAUUUGAAUAUUAAAAAUUAAAAAUAAAAGUAAGUGAAAUGGAAUAUAUUUAAACUUUUUAAAAAUAUAGAAUUUCCUAUUUGGGUGAUAGAAUUUUGACCAUAGAAUAAAAGAAUGUAUUAACAAGGGAAGAAGGGGUUGGUGAAGGCAUGGAAAGGUUAGAGUAUAUUCAACUUUGUGAUUAUGACUUUUAAUCAAUUUUAUUCAAUCAAUGCUACAUACAUUAUUGAAUAUUUGAGGUGCCAUGACUUUUGAACUGUUUCUUCUGGUACCUUCAUAGCUUCUUCCUACCUUCAAUUACAUAUUUUUUUAAAUAUCAAAAAUAUUUUUUAUUCUAUUGAAGUUUUUUACUUUAAAUUAUAAAAUUUAUGAGAUAUUUCCAAAUCCAAACACCUUUCAAAUUUUAUAAACCAAAAUAUAUUUUUUCCAAAAAAAUACAUUUCAGAUUAUAAAAACCAAAAUGUGUUUUUUCUAAAAUAAAUACAUUUUAAAUUGUAGAAUUUGAAAAAUAUUUUGUACUCUACAGAGUCCAUAGAAUCAUAAUGUGUAAAUUAAAAAAAAAUACAUUAUAGAUUUUAAAAAGGUAUUUUGAAUCUAAAAAUGAAAAAUAUUUCAAAUUCUAUAAUUUAAAAUAUAUUUUUUUAGAAAAAUAUUUCACAUUGCAAAACUGGAAAUUUUACAACCCAAAAUAUGUAAAUAGAAAAAACUGCAAUCCAAAAGGAGAGAGUUAUAAAAAAGAGAAAGUUAUAAAGAUGUUUUAUAUUUGACCACCAGUCCCAAAAAAAUUAAAUUUCUCACUCGAAAUGACAUUUAUAGUCUCUUAUUAAUUGAAAAUUAAUUAAUUUUAAUUUAGAAAAAUGUUCACCAACAAAUAUUUAUAGAAAACUUUGUCUACAAAUUUCCAGAUGUAUAGAGAUUCGUCAUUUUCAAGUACUUUUUUAAGUAUCUCAAUGUUCACUCUUACCCAAGAUAUGUAAAAAAAGUUACAAUAUCUUUUAAAUGACUCUUACCCAAAAUAUGUAAAAGAAGUUACAAUAUCUCCUAAAGUAUAUCAGAAAAUAGUUACAACCACAUCAUUGUUUUUUCUAGAACCCUCUGAAACAUUCUAACAUUUUCCGAAAUAUUAAAACAUUCUACAACAUCAUUAAAGUUUAUAAUUUAUACAUUAAAUAAUUUUAAUCUAUAGAAAAGCACUUUCUUGUCUUGUAAAAGUGCUAAAAAAAGUUACAUAAAUUAGCAAGUUUGUUGCCAACACUGAAGCAUAUACACUUGGCUUGCAACAUGCAACAGGAUUACAAUAGCCAUUAGAAUUCCUUACCUAUCUUAAGAGAAGUAUGAACAAGAUGACAACAUUUAGUUAGAAAUCCAAGUACCAAUUUCAGUCCAUAAGUAAGAAUGAAAAGUUAGACAUCAUAUAAAAAGAACCCAUAAAUUCAUUUGAGUUGGAAAAUGUCUUAUAUGAGUUACUAAAACUAGAGCAUAUCAUGAAAUGGGGGAGGAACAAUUAUUGCUUCAAUUCAUCAACCACCUAAUUAGCAUAAAAUAUCAUCAUAUCACAUCAACCUUUUUAAAUAAGUACUUAAAAUAUUUUUAACAUAGAAUAUACAACCAGAAAUUAAUAGGUGUGCUAAGUGUGUGUUCAUCAUUGUCUGAAGAAAUUUGUGAGUGAUUUACCAUCCAACUCUUUCUUGGAGAACCUGAUCAUAAAUUCAUGGAGAGUGAAGUUCCUGUAAAGGGCUGGUUUCUUUGUUGAUGUUAGCUCUGGCAAUGGUCCAAAAAGUCUCUCUCUGUCACUUGGGUUGAGGAAAACAGCAAUUGAGACUCUAGCCUCAUUACAAUGAUUGGCUAACACUCGGUGAUGAGCACUCUUAUAUGUCUCGUUAGAAAUUAUCUGACACACAAAAUGAUGAAUGGGAGAGAUCAAAACAAGGAAUGUCAUACAAUAAUUCCUGCAUAUAUAACCUUGUAAACCUUCAAAUUUAACCAAAAUUAUUCUUGCAGUUAUAAAUGGUUCUAAUAAUAUGUUCACAAAAUUAUAAAAGUCAAGUUGAUGCUAAGUUAACAAGAUCAUUUCAUGACCUUGCUUCAAAAUCUAAAUUCUAAUUACUUUAUUUCCCUUUGUCUGUCAAAUGCAUACUCUUCAAAAUUAAAACCACUAAUAAUCUAUUAUUUUUAUUCUCAAAAAUAUUACACCCAGUCUUAAAAUACCAUUUGUUUCGAUUUUAAAUCUACUGAGACAUUGCUAGAUCAAACUCCAUUCGAAACAUUGUCUGCUCCAUCUGAGGUAUUGUCCGCUUUGAAAUUCGAUACUCCUUCAUGAUUUUGUCCUUAAAAAGGUGUCUCAAUGGGUUAAGAAAGAAAAGUGUGUUUAAAGUGUCAUUGACUUCAAUACUUAAAUGAUGUGAGAAUGAUCCUCGAGGACUAAGGGAACGAGGUCGAGGAUGUGUCUUUGGAACCUCAAAUAUAAUGAUUGAUCCUAACGAUAUUAUCCCCCUUCACAACUAAGGAACUCAAAUGUGUGUCUGAAACCUCAAAUAGAGUGAUCUUUGACGAUUUUAAAAUAAAUACUUUAGAUAAAUAAUCUUGGAAGGAUUAAAAAUAAUGUGAUUCCCAAAUUUUAAGAUGUUUCAAAUUAUUAUUGACCCACAUGAAACAUCCAUCAUCAUCAUCAUAAGCACAAGCACAAGAAUUAAGUGACACAAGGCUUUAAUUAAUUAAACUAUUAUUAUUAUAUAUUAAUUAAAUAAAAUUAAAUAUGAAACCUGAAGGAAAUCUCCAAUGUUAAUAACCAAAGCUUGAGGCUGAGGCUUGACAUGGAUCCAACCCUGUGGGGUCUCAACCUGCAAGCCCCCAAUAUGGUCCUGCAGCAACACCGUAAGAGCCCCUGGAUCAGCAUGCGAAUUAAGACCCACCGUUAGAUCAGGCUGAGGGCAAAACGGGUAAUAAUGUCCCACCAUAACUCUUCCUUCACCCAAACCCAUCUCCCUGAACCUCUCCGCACCCAAUCCCAGCCCCUCACUCAGCAACUCAUACAACACACGUGACACACGCACCACCUCCUUAUCCCACUCCACCACCUCUUCUCUGCACACCUCGGGAAUCUCGCUGUGAUCAACGGCUAUGGGCCCCAUUCUCAUCUGCAAAAUAAAAAUAAAAACUCAUUUAUUUUAUCAUUUCAUACAAUUUAUUUAUUUUCAAUGCCGAUUAAUUUUAAAUGUUUUCCAAAAAAUAUUAUAUUAUGUAAAAAAUAAAUAUUUUGUGUGCCUUUUUAGACAGAAAGUUUAAAUAAUAAACUUUCGAGGCUUGUAAAAAGGUUAAAUUUUACUUUUGGUUCUUAUUUUAUUUAUUAAAAGUGAUUUCGGUCACACAAUAUUUGUUGUGACAUUAUUAAAAAGUUUGUAACUUUAAUUCAAUUAUUAUCAAUUUUUUAAAAAUUGCAAGUUUUAAAUAUAUGAAGAUUAAAUAAAAAAAAAGGUGUUUAUUAAAAAAUAAAUUGUAAUUUAGCCUAUAAAAAAUUGCAUGAAUCUAAAAUUGUGUUUCAUAAACUAUAAUUUAAUUUCUCUUGUUUCAGAAAUUAAUUAUUUAAAUAUAAAUUAUUAAUUAAAUAUACAUUUAAUCUUCCCUCAACAUGAUUUAUUUUAUGAAUAAAAGAACAUAAUUAAAAUUUCAACCAAGUGGUCCAAAAAACACGAGCCUAAUACUUGUGCCAACCGAUUUAAAUUAAUUUUAAUUACAAAUUUUGCAUUAAUGAAUACCAAUAUAUUGCUAACUAUUAAAAAAUAAUUUUGAUAAAUAUUUAAGAUAAUUAUUACUAAAUAUCGUAGACUUAUUAUUUACGGUGAAUUAUGAUCAGAAGGCUUUUCCCGUUUAGACGCGAUGGUAAGAGUCAUCCAGAAAUUAAAAUUCUUGAUAUUUCAGUUUUUGUAGUAAUUAAAAAUAUUAAUCUUACACAAAUCUUUAAUUCACUUUAAAUUUACAAAAAUAGAAAAAUCUCUUUAAUAUUAAUUUAUUGUAUAUUAAUAUUAAUUUUUUAAUAGCAUAUGAUACCAAAGAUCAAGUAUUAGUUACCUGAAUUGUGUCACGCCAGCUGGCAGCUUUUGAUUGGAAGAGAUCCACGUUGGAAAGGUAUGAUACCUUCCCCACCUCCCUACGAUACACCGGCACCCUGGCCUCCGCCGGCUGCUCGUGGAACGCCUUCACCGCCGCCAGAGUUCGCCGGAGUACCUGCUCCGGGACACCGUGGUUGAUCACCUGGAAGAACCCCACCGUGCUCGCCGCCUGCCGAACCUGCUCCACCACGGCGGCGCGCGACUCCUGCAUGGCGGCCAGGUCCACCGUGGGAAUCUCCGGCGCUGAUUCGGAUUCGGACCCGCGCUUUAGCUCCGCUAAGGUUUCGGGCGGGUGAACGAAGAUAGGGGGGACAGCCUUGAUUCCCGAAUCGACCAAACCUUUGACUCCGACCCUGGUUUCGUCGAACUCCUUCAGCGCUUUCGCGCGGUCGUACGGCGCGGCGGCGCUGACCGCGGUGGCCACCGGCGAUGACAUUGGGAAGAAGCGAGAAUAGGAAUCGUUGUUUGGGUGUAGAAAGUUCAAAUUCA
rnacentral:lncRNA from 1 species